rnacentral:rRNA from 1 species
UGAGGAAUAUUGGUCAAUGGACGAGAGUCUGAACCAGCCAAGUAGCGUGCAGGAUGACGGCCCUAUGGGUUGUAAACUGCUUUUGUUUGGGAAUAAUCGACAUUACGUGUAAUGUUUUGCAUGUACCAUAUGAAUAAGGACCGGCUAAUUCCGUGCCAGCAGCCGCGGUAAUACGGAAGGUUCGGGCGUUAUCCGGAUUUAUUGGGUUUAAAGGGAGCGUAGGCCGUUUGGUAAGCGUGUUGUGAAAUGUAGGAGCUCAACUUCUAGAUUGCAGCGCGAACUGUCAGACUUGAGUGCGCACAACGUAGGCGGAAUUCAUGGUGUAGCGGUGAAAUGCUUAGAUAUCAUGAAGAACUCCGAUUGCGAAGGCAGCUUACGGGAGCGCAACUGACGCUGAAGCUCGAAGGUGCGGGUAUCGAACAGG